ACUCAAAUGAAUUGACGGGGACCCGCACAAGCGGUGGAGUAUGUGGUUUAAUUCGACGCAACGCGAAAAACCUUACCUGGGCUCGAACGACUGGAAGUAGUUUUGAUGAAAAUCGAAACGACCUGUAAAGUCAGGCGCCAGCCGAGGUGCUGCAUGGUUGUCGUCAGCUCGUGUCGUGAGAUGUUGGGUUAAGUCCCGCAACGAGCGCAACCCUCAUCCAAUGUUGCUAACCGAAAGGUGCACUCUUUGGAAACUGCCCACGAUGAGUGGGAGGAAGGUGAGGACGACGUCAAAUCCCCAUGGCCCUUAUGUCCAGGGCUACACACGUACUACAAUGGCCGGUACAGAGGGUCGCAAUACCGCAAGGUGGAGCUAAUCCUAAAAGCCGGCCUCAGUUCAGAUUGUGGGCUGAAAUUCGUCCACAUGAAGGCGGAAUCGCUAGUAAUCGCGAAUCAGAAGGUCGCGGUGAAUACGUUCCCGGGUCUUGUACACACCGCCCGU
rnacentral:rRNA from 1 species